rnacentral:rRNA from 1 species
UACGUAGGGUGCAAGCGUUGUCCGGAAUUAUUGGGCGUAAAGAGCUCGUAGGCGGUUUGUCGCGUCUGCUGUGAAAACGCGAGGCUCAACCUCGCGCCUGCAGUGGGUACGGGCAGACUAGAGUGCGGUAGGGGAGAUUGGAAUUCCUGGUGUAGCGGUGGAGUGCGCAGAUAUCGGGAGGAACACCGGUGGCGAAGGCGGUUCUCUGGGCCUGUACUGACGCUGAGGAGCGAAAGCGUGGGGAGCGAACAGG